UGGCAUUAGCAUUUACUUAGCAUUUACUUACCAUUUGCUUUUUUAUUUGCUUUUUAGGACUUCCAGCUCUGAGGUAAAAGCGUCAGUGGCAAACCUUCUGAAGAUUGUUCACACUCUAGUGGAGGAUCAAUGCCAGAGGGAAAUUUUGUAUCAGAAAAGCUUCACUACAGUGUUUGGCCCUAAAUAUGACUCAGCUCUACAGCUCUAAAUUCCUCUUCAAUAUGCAGAAGCUGCUGCCUGUUCCAAAUCUUGAACAAACUUCCCAUUGGCUCAGUCUCUCUCCUUCUAUAUUGAUAGAGUGUGUGGACUUCAUGAAUCAACCUAAGCCGCUGAAUACACUUAUUCAGCCUCAAAAACAUAAUGGCCACACGUGUUUCACAAGCCUUGUCUGCUUCUGGGGAUGAUUGCAUACUUUCCAGCCUAUCCUAUCACCUACCAAAUGUAGACAAUGACGAAGGUGAUUCACUUGGAGGUGAGUCCAAGAAGGAUAAAAGUAAACACUUUAAAGAGAUAGGCUUUGAUUUAAAGAAGAAUAUGUGCUCUGAUUUAAAGAGGGAUAUCCAAAGAAACGAUUAGCAGAAUGUCAAUGAUCCGACUGAAGACGAACGAGCCACCAUUGAAGGUAUACUUCAACCUUUUGAUGAAAUUGAAUCGAAUGAGGAUGACAACAUGGAAAAAAGAUUGUUCCAGCAUCUGAAAAAAGGCUUUAGUACAUUCUCAAAAAUCUUCAAAUAUCUUGUUUGUGGAUCACAUUUUGGUUCCGCUACAAAACUAAAGAAGCAUAAGACUAACCAUAGUGGUCGCUGUACAGACACAGUGCUUCUGCAUGCCAAAGCUGCUUUUUUGAGAAGAUACAUUUACAUCCCAUCCAGACAAUACUGAUUCCAGAAGUGGGAUAAGCUUUCACCAUUGGCAAGUGCCACAACAAAAAACCCAUCAAAUCGGAAUAGUCUUACAAACUAUGAGCAAGUUAAUGCCGACUCUAGUUUUGUUUAUUAUCUUUCUGGCAAGGUUUAUUCUUAGCCAAAGAAUUGUCACAAACAUCAGAGGACUUGUGAGCAUGAUGGCAAACAACAAGCAGAAACAAAUACACAAUGUUCCGUAAGCUUUGCUCAUCACUCCAAAACAAAGCUACUUGAUAAGACCAAAGAGUCUUUUCCUAGUGAAACUGUAACUAGGCCUUCAAAUGUUGUUCCCCAAGAAUCAAUAUUUUCCGACACACCACAAAAGCAAUGUGUAAAAGUAGCAGUCGUGUCAAACAAUGCUCCAUAUGUGGGAAAAUAUUUACAUGUUCUGCUGUGUUGACUAGGCACUUGAGAUGCCACACUGAACAGAGACCUUAUUAUUGUUCUUAUUUUGGGAAAUACUUUGAGAGCUAUGAGGAGUAUAAAGCGCACCAGGAAAAUAAAUGCAGAUUUUCCAACCAGCUUUCACAGCUCAAUUCCUCGAACAUUGCAAAUAAAAAUAAUCAGGAGAAUACACUUCUUUCAAGUAGUAUAACUCAGUUCGCAAAAAUCCCAGGUGCAUCUGCCAACUCGCAGGCUUAGUCAUCUGUGACAUGUUGGAAACGUGGCCAGGGUUUUAUUUACUACAAGGACUUUGAAAAGCACCAGAGCAAAUGUACCAAAAGUCCUCAUCAAAUG